GAAACCGGGAUUAAAACCUCAUAAUACCGCAGUGAGACAUCUCACGGCGGUCAAAGAUUUAUCGGCAAAGGAUGGGCCUGCGUCUGAUUAGUUAGUUGGUGGGGUAACGGCCUACCAAGGCGACGAUCAGUAGCCGACCUGAGAGGGUGAUCGGCCACAUUGGAACUGAGACACGGUCCAAACUCCUACGGGAGGCAGCAGUGGGGAAUAUUGCACAAUGGGGGAAACCCUGAUGCAGCAACGCCGCGUGAAGGAUGAAGGCCUUUGGGUCGUAAACUUCUGUUCUAAGGGAAGAUAGUGACGGUACCUUAGGAGCAAGUCCCGGCUAACUACGUGCCAGCAGCCGCGGUAAUACGUAGGGGGCAAGCGUUAUCCGGAAUUAUUGGGCGUAAAGAGUACGUAGGUGGUUUUCUAAGCACGGGGUUUAAGGCAAUGGCUUAACCAUUGUUCGCCUUGUGAACUGGAAGACUUGAGUGCAGGAGAGGAAAGCGGAAUUCCUAGUGUAGCGGUGAAAUGCGUAGAUAUUAGGAGGAACACCAGUGGCGAAGGCGGCUUUCUGGACUGUAACUGACACUGAGGUACGAAAGCGUGGGGAGCAAACAGGAUUAGAUACCCUGGUAGUCCACGCCGUAAACGAUGAGCACUAGGUGUCGGGGUCGCAAGACUUCGGUGCC
rnacentral:rRNA from 1 species